AGAAAUGUUUUAGAAUUUGCAAUUCUUAUAGGUGUCCACCAUUUCUA
rnacentral:tRNA from 1 species